rnacentral:ncRNA from 1 species
CAGAAAGCACUGAAAAGAAGAGUACACCAUAAUGAUGUUUGAAGAGAGAGCCUCAGUUAGCUGAAAAGAGGUAACAAAAUUGUGAUGGAAGAUGGUCUUAGAGCAGAAUAAGUGAGCAAUCAGUGAACUUAUUACGGGAGUGCCCGUUAUAGCACCGCAGUAUACGAUAAUGACGGGUCAAUGAUCUGUAUCAAGUACUGGUUAAGGCGAUCAUCGUGAGGUGAGCGUGAAUAAAGGUGGUAACACGAGAGAGAUACUUUCGUCCUUUUU